rnacentral:sRNA from 20 species
UAGAUAAAUCUGAAAACUUUCCUAGAAAGUGGACUAAUUAAUCUUCUGUGAAGCUAUUAUGAGGAUUGCCCUUUGAGGUUAUAGCAAUAGGUCGCCCUAUGAUUAGUCACAUGCAUUUAUUUG